rnacentral:lncRNA from 1 species
CUGCAGAAGAUUUCCAAACCGCAUUGUUUGUGGACUGUAAAUUCUGUAGUUGAAUUCAUUGUAUGUGCUCGAUGGGCAACUAAUUACAUGUGUGAAAAAAGGGUUAUAAUUGAUAAAGAUAUGACUGUAAAGAUUUCUACGUUAUCUUUUCUGAAUUUUUGAGCUAUGAAUAGAUGGAUUUUUUUUUUUUUAAUUAAGGAAAUUGUCAGAGAUGAUACUUGUCUGUAGUGUCUUAGAAGGAUUAUUUUUCAAUCAAAAACAUGUUCUGA